rnacentral:rRNA from 1 species
UACGAAGGGAGCUAGCGUUGCUCGGAAUCACUGGGGCGUAAAGGGGUGCGUAGGCGGGUCUUUAAGUCAGGGGUGAAAUCCUGGAGCUCAACUCCAGAACUGCCUUUGAUACUGGCGGAUCUUGAGUUCGGGGAGAGGGUGAGUGGGAACUGCGAGUGUAGAGGGUGAAAUUCGUAGAUAUUCGCAAGAACACCAGUGGCGAAGGGCGGCUC